rnacentral:lncRNA from 1 species
GUUUGUUUUGACUCUCUUUUAGGAUGUGUUUCAUCAUGAUGUGGAUUGGUCAUGAUGUAUCCAAAAUGAUGGUUGCCCAUGGUCAAUGAGCUUUUUCUUUUUUAUGCAUUCUAAGACCAGAAUGGUGCCACCACUACUUUUGGGGUAGGUAAUCAAGACAAUCCCUCCCAACAGACUCAAAUGACAAUAUUAACCAUUACAGGUACUGAAUUUCAUUGGAUGUUUGUUAGUAAAUAAAGAGAUUUCAUGGUUCGCAUACAUAGAUUCACUUAAGAAUUUCAGCCAUGUCAGGCAUCGUGGCCCAUGCCUUUAGUCCUAGCACUAGGAAAUCAUAGGCAGGUGGAUAUCUGAGACUGAAGCUAACCUGCUCUACAGAUCGAGUUCUAGGACAGCCAGAGCUACACAUAGAAACCCUGUUUUUGAAAGAAAAGGAAAGGAAAGGAAAGGAAAGGAAAGGAAAGGAAAGGAAAGGAAAGGGGAAAGGGAAAGGGAAAGGGAAAGGGAAAGGGAAAGGGAAAGGAAGGAAGAAAAAGGGAGGGGGGAGAAAGAAUGAAAGAAAGGAAGAAAGAAAGAAAAGGAAAAGAAAAGGAAAGAAAGAACGAAUGAACGAGGAACAGUGAAAAGGAAAAGAAAGAGAGAAAAGAAAGAAGGAAAGAAAGAAAAGAGAAAGAAAAAGGAAAAGAAGAGAAAGAAAGGAAGAAAGAAAGAAAAGGAAAAAGAGAAAAGAAUUCAGCCACUGUGAAAUAAAUGUUAAAUUGAAAAUGUUAUUUAGCUCUACUGUUUAUACCAAAUUCACUAUGGAGUAGAAUGGAAAUCAGAAAGAUUGUCAACGGUAGGGUGGCUGAGAAAUAUGUAUAACUAUAAUUGUAUAGGUCUCUAAACACCACAGAAAGACGAGGCUUCUUUGUAUACUCCACCUCCAUGUGGGGAGCCACCCACAUCUUUUCCACAGUCUCUCCUGUCGUGUUUUUGUUAACGACCCCCACUUUUGAGAUGGCUCAAAUGUCCGUGUACUUCCACCAAGCCUGAUGGCCUGGGUUCAGUCCCUGAGACCCACCCGGCUAAAGGAGAGAACAGAUUCUCACGAGUUAUCCUUUGACUUCCACAUGUGUGCUGUGGCAUGAAUACAUACAUGCAUACACACAAAUAACCAAAAUCCUUUUUAAAAAGUCAUAGCAGUUUCUGUACAUAAACAGAAUAAUAUUUUUUUUCAGCAAGAGUUUAAAAUUCAAGCCAGGAAAGUAUGUCUAAGAAAAGCGUUUCAUAGAGAUUUUAAACAGAAUCCCAUAAAGGUCAAUUCAAUGAUAUUUUGGAGUCAGCACAUAUUAUUCUGGUUUUUUUUUUUUUCUUAAAAAUUUAAUAAUGUGCACACCUUUUUAUUUUCUUACCUGUGCUUACCUGUACUGUGCCUUUACCUCUGCAAACCAUCACCAAAUUUUAAGACACAUAAUACAAAAUUUAAAUAGGAAGUUGCUGAGAAGGCUGGAGAGAUAGCUCAGUGGUUAAGAGCACUGACUGCUCUUCCAAAGGUCCUGAGUUCAAUUCCCAGCAACCACAUGGUGGCUCCCAACCAUCUGUAAUGGGAUCUGUUGCCCUCUUCUGGUGUGUCUGAAGACAGCAACAAAGUACUCACAUACAUUAAAUAAAUAAACAAACAAACAAAUAAAUAAAUCUAUCUAAGAAAGAAAGAAAGG